rnacentral:tRNA from 1 species
GCGUCUGUAGCUCAACUGGACAGAGCACCGGCCUUCGAAGCCGUCGGUUGCGGGUUCGAAUCCCGUCAGGCGCG